UAGAACGUUUGAGACAAUUAAAGAAAGAGAGAAAAAAAAGAAGAACAGAAGUCGUCAGAAAGUGUAGAUAAGAGAGAAAGUUUGAGACAAUCAAAGAAAGAGAAAAAAAGAAGAAGAACAGAAGUCCUCAGAAAAUGUAGAUGAGAGCGGAAAUGUAAGACAAUCGAAGAGCAGGAAAAAAGAACAAGAACAGGUGAAGUUGACUAUCAAGUUAAACAUGUUAAAUACUUUAACCGAGACUCUUGUCGAUAAAGAAUCAACCAAAAAGGCUGUAUGCCGAAAAAUGAAAGUGAUAUCUGCCCCCAAAAAGGGUGACAUUGAAAA